UAGGGAAUAUUGCACAAUGGGCGAAAGCCUGAUGCAGCAACGCCGCGUGCGGGAAGAAGGCCCUAGGGUUGUAAACCGCUUUCAGCAGGGAAGAAAAUGACGGUACCUGCAGAAGAAGGUGCGGCCAACUACGUGCCAGCAGCCGCGGUAAUAUAAUA
rnacentral:rRNA from 1 species